GUAGAAAUGCUCACGGUAGAUUUCCAAGCAACGUAGCUCAAGGGGGCUUUCAGUAGCCCAGAGAGGACUCCACGAAAGAAGCUGUUGAAGCUGCCGCAGCAUAAAGCAUUCCUGCUGUCCAUGUCAGGUGAGGACACAAGAGUUUCCAGAUCACCACAACCUGACCAUGCUGGCCCCCUGACUGUGGACUUCCAGCCUCCAGAACCGUGAGCUAGAAAUUUCUGCCCUUCACAAUCCCCCCAGUCUGUGACGGCGUGUUACGGCGGCCUCAACAGACAGCUUCUGAAUACUUCAGUGUGAAUUUCCCGAAAACCAGGCCAUUCUCUUCCAUAACCACGGUGCGGUGAUCAAAAUCAGGAAAUGACUCUGAAUCAUCACUAUUAUCUCAUCUACAGAUCUUACUCAAAUUUCACCAAUUGCCUGCUAAUGUCCUUUGUAGCACAACCAAGGAAAAUUGGCUGCCUUUUUAACUGCAAAUAAUAAAUACGGAUUUCCGUUUCUUG